GACGAACGCUGGCGGCGUGCUUAACACAUGCAAGUCGAGCGGGAUCCAACCGGUGGCAACACCGGGGAAGAUCUAGCGGCGAACGGGUGAGUAACACGUGAGCAACCUGCCCCGAAGACUGGGAUAACACCGGGAAACCGGUGCUAAUACCGGAUGUCGUCAUUAGGCCGCAUGACCUGAUGAUGAAAGGAUUCAUCGCUUCGGGGAGGGGCUCGCGGGCUAUCAGCNGUUGGUGGGGUAACGGCCUACCAAGGCGACGACGGCUAGCUGGUCUGAGAGGACGACCAGCCACACUGGGACUGAGACACGGCCCAGACUCCUACGGGAGGCAGCAGGUGGGGAAUCUUGCGCAAUGGGCGAAAGCCUGACGCAGCAACGCCGCGUGGGGGAUGAAUG
rnacentral:rRNA from 1 species